GACGAACGCUGGCGGCGUGCUUAACACAUGCAAGUCGAACGGUGAACUCUCCUUCGGGAGGGGGAUCAGUGGCGAACGGGUGAGUAACACGUGACCAACCUGCCCCUUGCUCUGGGAUAACCCCGGGAAACCGGAGCUAAUACCGGAUACGAGACCACGUGGCAUCACAUGGUCUGGAAAGUUUUUCGGCGAGGGAUGGGGUCGCGGCCUAUCAGCUUGUUGGUGGGGUAACGGCCUACCAAGGCGACGACGGGUAGCCGGCCUGAGAGGGCGACCGGCCACACUGGGACUGAGACACGGCCCAGACUCCUACGGGAGGCAGCAGUGGGGAAUAUUGCGCAAUGGGCGAAAGCCUGACGCAGCGACGCCGCGUGAGGGAUGACGGCCUUCGGGUUGUAAACCUCUUUCAGCAGGGAAGAAGCGAAAGUGACGGUACCUGCAGAAGAAGCACCGGCUAACUACGUGCCAGCCGCCGCCGUAACAC
rnacentral:rRNA from 1 species